rfam:Sorghum bicolor cultivar BTx623 chromosome 1, whole genome shotgun sequence.
GUAGUCGGAUUCACAUCAAUCCACAUGUGUUGAGGUGGAUUGGAGUGGAACAUUCCACCUCAAUCCACACCAACACACAUGGAUUGAAGUGAAUACGACA